rnacentral:rRNA from 1 species
CCUACGGGUGGCAGCAGUGGGGAAUAUUGGACAAUGGGCGAAAGCCUGAUCCAGCCAUGCCGCGUGUGUGAAGAAGGCCUUCGGGUUGUAAAGCACUUUCAGUGGGGAAGAAAGCCUUGGGGCUAAUACCCUCGAGGAAGGACAUCACCCACAGAAGAAGCACCGGCUAACUCCGUGCCAGCAGCCGCGGUAAUACGGAGGGUGCGAGCGUUAAUCGGAAUUACUGGGCGUAAAGCGCGCGUAGGCGGUCUGAUAAGCCGGUUGUGAAAGCCCCGGGCUCAACCUGGGAACGGCAUCCGGAACUGUCAGGCUAGAGUGCAGGAGAGGAAGGUAGAAUUCCCGGUGUAGCGGUGAAAUGCGUAGAGAUCGGGAGGAAUACCAGUGGCGAAGGCGGCCUUCUGGGCUGACACUGACGCUGAGGUGCGAAAGCGUGGGUAGCAAACAGGAUUAGAUACCCCAGUAGUC